GUUUGUUUGAAGUUAUAAAGAAUUUGACCUGCCCCCUGAUUAACUAUUAAAGGGCCGCAGUAUUAUAACUGUGCAAAGGUAGCAUAAUCAUUAGGUUUUUAAUUGAAAUCUCGUAUGAAUGGUUGGACAAAAGAAAGACUCUCUUUAUAUUAAGUUUUGAAUUUAACUUUUAAGUGAAAAGGCUUAAAUAUUCUAAAGGGACGAUAAGACCCUAUAAAACUUUACAUUGUCAUUAAUUUUGAUUGAAUUUAUAAAAUAAGAAUUUUAUUUGAUCAUCUGUUAUGUUGGGGAGACACAAGUAAAAUAUUUUUUAACUGCUUGAUAGUUAUACAGUUAUUAGUGAGUAAGUAGAAGAUCCUUUUUAAGAUUAGUAGAUUAAGUUACUUUAGGGAUAACAGUGUAAUUUCUUUUGAGAGUUCUUAUCGAAAAAGAAGGUUGCAACCUCGAUGUUGAAUUAAAAUAUCUAUAUAAUGGAGAGGUUAUAUAAGAAGGUCUGUUCGACCUUGAAAUUUUUACAUGAUUUGAGUUCAAACCGGUGUGAG
rnacentral:rRNA from 1 species